UGCCUACGGGGCGCAGCAGUGAGGAAUAUUGGUCAAUGGACGAGAUCCUGAACCAGCCAAGUCGCGUGAAGGAUGACUGCCCUAUGGGUUGUAAACUUCUUUUAUAUGGGAAUAAAGUUUUCCACGUGUGGCAUUUUGUAUGUACCAUAUGAAUAAGGAUCGGCUAACUCCGUGCCAGCAGCCGCGGUAAUACGGAGGAUCCGAGCGUUAUCCGGAUUUAUUGGGUUUAAAGGGAGCGUAGGCGGAUUGUUAAGUCAGUUGUGAAAGUUUGCGGCUCAACCCUAACAUUGCAGUUAAAACUGGCG
rnacentral:rRNA from 1 species